GAGAGAGAGAGAGAGAGAAAGCAUGCACCAAAUGCAGGCGACCUAUGGAUCAAAGGAGCCCUUUUCCUGCUAUAUUUGUUGCUUUCUGCUGCUGGAAGGGAUGGAAUGCAGGGAAGGAAGGACUGAAACGGCGAGAGUGCAUGGGAAUUUGGGUUGGCUGGGUUUUUGCUAGUGUCUGUUCCGGGAGGUUCUUUGCUGCUUUUGUUUCGGGAGGUUGGGGAUGGUGGAGAGAAGAGGCAACGGAGGGUGGUGGCCUUUGUCUUUCCUUCUUUAUUUAAUGGUGUGGUAAGGUGUGUGGCUGUGAACGGAAGAUUCCCUCUGAAUUUUGUUACUAAACCUGAAUGAUUUGGUCUAGCUAGUGCUCAAAGUACACUUUAACAUAUCUGAAAAAAGUACUCUUAAACAAAGAAACAGAAAGAUGUUGCCACACUGUGUACCCCGUCAAUUGCUACAGGUAUUUGCCAGGAUUGACAGAAGCUGCUAGUCAUUUCUGAACUGUCACUUAGGCUAUACCAUCACCUCUAGUCCUGUACACCAGGACAUGCUACGUAGAAAUUACCAACAUUUUUUUUUACAGCAGACCAGGAGCAGCACUAGAAUGGUACCAGCGUACUGCAGCUUUCACCUACACUUGUCGUGAACUGUGAAGGAGAGAGGGGAGAGGCCUUGAAGUUGCAAUGGAAGCUCACCCAAUCCACCUGAUCGACCUGGGCACAGGUGGGCGAUACCCAUGGGAUCAUGUGAUGAUGUUCUUUGUCCGGAAAUUGCCAUCUCUGGGGCGUGCAAAGUGGCAAGUCCGAACGGCCUUCACGAUCGACGACCUAACAAAAGGUACGUAGAGCCAACCGUCACUCCACAUGUCUACCACGACAUUCUCGCGAAAACGGUGGAUCUUCGAUUUGACCGCUGUCGAACGCGGCGUGCGUGUAUGUUUCCCAAGAUGUGGGUGAAAUUCUCACGUUCCUGAUCGGAGCCUGGCUACUAACAUCUUUUAACUGAA